CAUUGUGGAGAGGAAAGCAUUAGGGGAGCCCACGGCUACAAAAACAAGUGAGUGAGAAGAGGUGGGAGGAAGAGAAACUACGCCACCUCCCCUGCAGCCGAGCCGCACGCAGCAGCUCCCCGCGGGAAGUGGGCGACGCCGGCGGGGGGGAAGGGAGACCCGGUCCCCAGCCCCGGCCGGGGGACCCCGCCGCCCACAGCCAAGAGAACAACUUUUAUCCGGCAGCCUCGGCCAGCACUGCACCUGUCUCCGAAGCCUCCAUCGCUCUUCCUGAUGAUCAAAGGGGAAUUCUAGAAGACUGUGCUCUACAAAUAUACAUGCGCAUCGUUUUCCCCCUUGCGUCUCGCUCCGCAGGAAGGAAAGAGAAAGGGAUUAAAGCGGCAGCGUGUGUUCAGCCCCAAGCACCACCAAGCCUUCCUGGAGUGGAACUUCUGCUCAGUUCUUGGAUGGAGGGAUGCAGUACAACUUGCCUUCUCUUGUUUCCAGGGACUCUUAACUGGUAAAGAGAGUUUGGGACAUUUUACCAUCUGGAGUUUCUCUGUGCCUUGCUGACGAUCUGAGCUCAAACCUGCCAGUUUAUGGGAAAAGAUAAGAAAACCUCCUGUAACAUCUGAGUUGCAAAAAUACCUGCCUCUAAGAAUUCAAGAGGACCUACUUUGUGGGAGCAAAGGUAGUGAGUCAUACCUGCAAGCUUGCAAACGAGAAUUCGCUUGUGCGUCUUCAUCCAGUUGGGAAGUUUCCUAGGCAACCAUUUAUGCAGCAAUUAAAAGAUGAGGAGUUAAGAGGAGAAAAUGGGAAAAACAGAGGUACCUUUAAUGGAACAGAAUAAACACUGAACAGAAAAGUGAGGAGGCUGUGUUAUACCCGUGCAAGGGGAGGAGCCAGGAAGAGGGUCUGGUUCCCUCUCAGAAGCUUAGCUUCUCAGCUCAGAACUUGCCUUGUCUCCUCCCAGCUCAAAAGAUUGCAUCAGACUUUGCUUUCAUUAUAAAAAUAAAGUACCAAGUAGAUAGACCGAAGGAGUGGUGUAGUUGCAGGACUGAAAUCAAAAUGGUUCCGAUUACUGAGAGAGCUGUUCAUGUACUUACUCCUUUCAUGAUCUGCAUGGAGAGAGCAGCAUCUCUCAAAAGACCGGCAUCUAAGUACAAGAAAGUUAAUGGCGCAGAAUACUGCUGACUGCAUGGUUCUCGUCUUAAUGCAUUUUCCAACCUUGAACCUGAGAAUGCCAGAGGCUGGAGUCCCUGGACGCUCGUCUGAGUGGUUAUCUGCUGGUGGCCUGGUUCCUGAGCUAACAAGUGGGUGUCCCAGGCGUGCGUGUGGUAACAGCAGCAGCGAUGCCACGUGGCGCCCAGAGGUCACCUCAGUCUGGCCUGGAGAUUGCCGGUCCUCCGUGAAGCUUCUGAGAUGAACCGUGAACUUGGGGCAUCCCGAGGCAGCACAGGCAUUCUGGAGUUUCCCCAGCAAACCUGGAUGAAUGCGUAAACACAGCUUGUAAAGUGAAAGCAGGGGCCUUGAGGAAAGGAAUUACCCUCAUCUCGUUCCCGACCUGCUUACUGCGCUGGAAAACAAAGUUCCGGCACCAGUCUCAGAAGAUCCCCAAGGCCCACUUCACUGCCCCAGACUCCAUCUCUGCCUGCGCUCCUCUGUCUUCCUCAUCUGCUCACCUGCUAAUAACCUGUGCAUUCUGAAGAGUCAUCUCAGGAGAUGGAAUUGAGCAAUGUUCUCUGAGAACACGCUGUGCUCCUUGGAGCCCUGAGUGAAUGUGAUGUUUAGAAGAUGCUCUAGAAGCUUGGAAGUGCCUCUUGGGAAUAGAGCGAAGGGGGUGGAGACGGGGUAGCGAAGACACCACGGCCGCCCCAGAGGAGCAGUGACUCACCCUGCCUGCCUGGCCGGGGACUUCAGGCCUCGAGACGCCCACGGCCAAGGACUCAGUUCCCCUUGAGCCCCAACCUGAACCUGUGACCUUUAAUGGACCCACAGGCCACCUCCGCGUCCACAAGAACCACAGAGAAGGACGCAUCAGGGCCCUGGCUCUCCACCAGCGGCCUCCCUGAGCCCCUAGGCAGACAGUGCUGUAUAAAGACAACACCCUGAACCAAGCAAUGGAGCCACUUUCCUGAGGAGAAAAAGCCAAAGGAAGAUUCCUGCCCGAGGCCUCCUGGGGGCAGGUGCCCCUCCUAGGUGGCCCACAAGCAGCCGUCACAUCACGUAUCACUUUGUUAACAGCUCGGCCAUGGUGUUACCAUGUCAGGAAUAUCAAUUAAGCAUGUCCAACAAGAUCUGCUGGUGGGAGGAGCUGCCCGCGGUGCCAGUAAGUGCCACCUUCCCUCCUCCCAGGCCUGGAAUUCAGGGUGGGGGCUCAGGUUGUGUUGAGCUUCUAAGGAUGGUUUUAGGGGAUAAAUAAUAAUGCUUUC